UAGAAGUCCAAAGCCAAGCCUUCCAAAAAAUUAUCCUAAUAAUUUUGUAAAGCGUAGAUAAUGUCAUCUUGGAAUAAAAAGAUUUUUUCAGGGUAAGAAAUGCUACAUUAAGAUAAACAUUAGAACUUAGUGUUGCCACCUGAAACGUAACUUUUAAAAAAAAUCUUACAGGCUUUAAAAUAAGCAUAAAGACAGAGAGAGAGAGAAAUAAGAAUUAGACUAAAAAAGUGAAAGAGCACAGGAAAUAAAUAACACUUAAAAAAUCAAUUAUUUCAGGCAUUCUGAAAUGCAGUGUUUUGCCCUUAACUUUUCAAGCUUUUAUGUUCGUGUGCACUCACUCAUGCAAUUUCCAGUGUAUUUAGGGAAGAUGGAGUCUGGAAGUGAAAUGGGAAUAAAUUAAUAGGAAUUGGCCUUAGUUUAUGUGGUCUUCUAAAACUGUAUUACCAAAUACACAGACUGCAUUAUUCAAAGCAGCAGUUUCAUGCCUAGCUUUUCGUGGCAGUAAAAGUGUUUUUGAGUGGGAAAAAAGUGCAAAAAGAAAGACAUUUUAAUGUACAGUGGCAGACAAAUGCCUAAGUCCCAUUAACAUCUGGGGACAUUAGAGCACUUGAUCUUUUUCUGUGCACUGCUUUACUGGGAGUCACCUGGUGCUUAGCCCUUGAAAAUAAUAAAAAGCCACCACUUGCCUGGCAGUCAGAAUGUCUCUUGUAGCAAAGGGUUUAUUUUUCCUCACUUAAUACUGUGCUGCUGUCAGACCUCAGGGUUAUGCCUGCCCUCCUGUUUAGCACAAUGAGUCAGAUUGUCCAUUUUCAAAGAACCAUCACGCACCCACGCACCCCCAAGCCCUCCAUUCUCUGAUGCAUAUAUCUCCAUCAGAAAUUCAGGUGUGGAGGGAAGGAGUAGCCCCUUCUUACAGUGCUAAAAUGCCACUCGGUUUUUAACUAGUCAGCUCCUGCACUCUGCUCUCCAGCAGCCUGAACAGGAUGGAAAACCUUGCCCUAAUUUUUCCCUUGCAUUUCCAGUUCUUCAGAAGAGCUUUCUAUUGCAGAAUGAAGAUUACAGCCCACAAUACAGCAAGGACUGAGCCUGUGCUGAGGAUCAUAAUUGCCUUCUCUUUGUUAAUAUGCAUUUCCCUUUGGAAAUGUCCUUUUCAUCAUCUGGAUCAGGAGGUUUUUUACUUUGGGAAGCAGAUGAAGAUGUCCCUGCUAACCAAGCUUCAAGAGAAACAAUGGUGGCUACUGGUGAGGACUGUGUGAGACAACAAAAUCAGAAGUGAUGCAAUGAAACUUACGUAAGAUACAGAUAAAGAAAAAAAUUCCUAGAGGAGUUGUCCUUCUAAUGAUACAGUAAUUGUCUCAAGGAAGUGGUGAAAACCCCUUUUCACUAUACAAUCAGUGUUACACUGAAAAAAGCACUACUGUCUAGAGAAUAAUCUUGUGCCAGGCAGCAAGAGGAUUGGCUUGUUUUUAUCUUCACUUUCUCAGAUUCUGUGAUUCAAGACUGGCUUAAAAGAUGAAAGACUAAUGGUAUUUAAUGGCUUGCUGAGUUCUUGUCUGAUUGCUACACGGUUUUCUUGCUUUCAGAAAUUAAAUAAUUUAAGAAGAGAAGAAGAAGACAUUUAUAUAGCUUAUGGAUUUUUUUUUCUCUAGUCACAUUAAUAUAAAGAGAUUCAAACAAAGCUCCUUCAGAGUCUGCCUGCACCACAAAAGAGAAUCACUGAUAAUGCAAGUGGUGGAAAGGCAGUGAUGCAGCAUGUCUACACUGAUGACUGCAGUUCUGGUGGAAAUUCAGUCCACAUUCACUCUUUUAACAUCCAUUUUAUUUUACUUUAUUUUAUCCUGUUGCAAUUUGUGGUACCUUCCUUGUGCUUU
rnacentral:lncRNA from 1 species